UUCGAUGGGGCAGGACAUCUCAAGACAAUGAACCGGCUGAUCCAAAUGACUGCCAACAAAAACACAAAGCUAACACCUCAGUGGAUCAAAGAACGCCACGAGGUUAGAAACAAAAUCCAUGGGUGGAUUGCACUACAAUUGCAAUAGCAGAAGAAGGAAUUUGUUGCCUGCAUUACCUUAGAUUGUUUAGGACCGAAAGGACUCGAUGGUCAUGGCCCUGUGGCAUAUCAAAACGGGUUAAUUGCUGCUAACAAGGUUUUGCUAUAUUUACGACAAGGAAUGGUGGAAUUAUAUCUGUAGCACAUAAUAUACAGUAACUUCUGUUGUCGGUCGUAAUUUAAAAUAGCUUGUUAGAUUAUUAUUUGUACUUUAUAAAAAGAAAAUGUAAAAUUUGCAAUCUCCAAAUUGAGACACAAAA